GGGCCCGUGGUGUAGAGGCCUAACAUGCCUCCCUGUCACGGAGGAGAUCGCCGGUUCGAAUCCGGUCGGGCCCGCCA
rnacentral:tRNA from 2 species